rnacentral:tRNA from 1 species
GGAUAAUAGUUAAGUAUAACAUUUAAAUUGCAAUUAAAAAAUAUUGAUUAAUAAUCAAUUUAUCUCAA